GGUCAUCUUCCACAACAUCAUUGAUGUGUCCUCCUACAAUGCCUUUGUGAUUUGGAUAGAGAUCAACCCAACCUGGAUGUCUCAUAAGCACAACAAGAGGAGGGUGUUCCUGGAGCAGCUAGGAAAGGCACUUGUAACUCCACUCAUUGAAAGAAGGAAGCAUGUCCCCCGCACAGAAGCCUCAGCAGCAGUUGUGAAAGCUAUUCAGAGUGCAGCAGCUCCUGAUCAACCUGAGGAUCCAUCUACCACAGCCACUUCCCCAGCUAAGCCAAGUAAGAGGAAGAGAUGUCAGUUCUGCCCUCGGACUGUAAAACACAUACUGUGUGCUGCAGGUGUAAGAAAUAUAUCUGCAAAGACUGUGCACUUGCAUACUGCCCUACAUGUGCCAAUUAGUUGAAUGGGUUAUGUUAUUUUUCAUAUUUUUGUAUUGUACAUCCUCUUGUUCACUGGAGAAAAGUAAAAGAAAAUUAGUCACUGUGAUGUAUAAAAAUGCAUUCGAAACUCAUUUUGCACAUUUUUUUUCUUAAGCUAUAGAAAUUCAAGUGGAGAGGGAAAACUCAAGUAUUCACACAUUUUGUGACCAGAGGAUCACACCUGUUGACAACAAACAAAGGUUUAACUACUGAAUUUUCAGUCAGAAAUGAUCGCACCACCUGGUUGAAGUACCUGUGUCCAUAUGCAAGUCAACAAAGCAGAGAGGAAACACCCGAUUGACAACAUGCGAGUCUCAAUUUCAACCUGUGACUGGGAAGACUACAACCAUCCUGAGCAACGUCUGAUCUCAGCGACUUGUGACUCUCAACCCAGAACAAGAAUCCUUUUAUCACCAUUUUGUCUUCUACAAUAUGUUAUCUCUUAUGUGGACACAUACUGUUUGUUUUGUUUCUGUUUUCCAGAUCUCAGUAAUACCGUGAGGAAACUGGACAGAAAAUAGAAUCAGUUCUUUUUUUAACUUGACUUUUUAAAUAGAAAUUGUUUCUUUAAGUGGAUUACUCGUAAUCUGUAUUUUUGUUUAAUUAGAAAUUAUUUUCUUUAUAACUUUCUGUAUAGAAAUGCUUGACAAGUUACACUUCCUUGUGUGUUGUACUAUAAUUUGUAUGGUAAAAUUCUGGUAGGAACAGAGACCAGUAA